GUCGAACGAGAGCGACCGGUGCUUGCACUGGUCAAUCUAGUGGCGAGCGGGUGAGUAACACGUGGGUAACCUGCCCAUCAGAGGGGGAUAACAUUCGGAAACGGAUGCUAAAACCGCAUAGGUCCUUUAACCGCAUGGUUGAAGGAGGAAAAGAGGCGCAAGCUUCUGCUGAUGGAUGGACCCGCGGUGCAUUAGCUAGUUGGUGAGGUAACGGCUCACCAAGGCCGUGAUGCAUAGCCGACCUGAGAGGGUGAUCGGCCACAUUGGGACUGAGACACGGCCCAAACUCCUACGGGAGGCAGCAAGUAGGGAAUCUUCCGCAAUGGACGCAAGUCUGACGGAGCAACGCCGCGUGAGUGAAGAAGGUUUUCGGAUCGUAAAACUCUGUUGUUAGAGAAGAACAAGUGCUAGAGUAACUGUUAGCGCCUUGACGGUAUCUAACCAGAAAGCCACGGCUAACUACGUGCCAGCAGCCGCGGUAAUACGUAGGUGGCAAGCGUUGUCCGGAUUUAUUGGGCGUAAAGCGAGCGCAGGCGGUUCCUUAAGUCUGAUGUGAAAGCCCCCGGCUCAACCGGGGAGGGUCAUUGGAAACUGGGGAACUUGAGUGCAGAAGAGGAGAGUGGAAUUCCAUGUGUAGCGGUGAAAUGCGUAAAUAUAUGGAGGAACACCAGUGGCGAAG
rnacentral:rRNA from 1 species